rnacentral:rRNA from 1 species
AGUGAACGCUGGCGGUAGGCCUAACACAUGCAAGUCGAACGGCAGCACAGUAAGAGCUUGCUCUUACGGGUGGCGAGUGGAGGACGGGUGAGGAAUACAUCGGAAUCUACUUUUUCGUGGGGGAUAACGUAGGGAAACUUACGCUAAUACCGCAUACGACCUACGGGUGAAAGCAGGGGAUCUUCGGACCUUGCGCGAUUGAAUGAGCCGAUGUCGGAUUAGCUAGUUGGCGGGGUAAAGGCCCACCAAGGCGGCGAUCCGUAGCUGGUCUGAGAGGAUGAACAGCCACACUGGAGCUGAGACACGGUCCAGAGUCCUACGGGAGGCAGCAGUGGGGAAUAUUGGACAAUGGGCGCAAGCCUGAUCCAGCCAUACCGCGUGGGUGAAGAAGGCCUUCGGGUUGUAAAGCCCUUUUGUUGGGAAAGAAAAGCAGCAGGUUAAUACCCCGCUGUUCUGACGGUACCCAAAGAAUAAGCACCGGCUAACUUCGUG